CCUACGGGGGGCAGCAGUGAGGAAUAUUGGUCAAUGGUCGGGAGACUGAACCAGCCAAGCCGCGUGAGGGAUGAAGGUACAGAGUAUCGUAAACCUCUUUUGUCAGGGAACAAAGGCGGGGACGCGUCCCCGGAUGAGUGUACCUGACGAAAAAGCAUCGGCUAACUCCGUGCCAGCAGCCGCGGUAAUCCGGAGGAUGCGAGCGUUAUCCGGAUUUAUUGGGGUAAAGGGGUGCGCAGGCGGACUGUUAAGUCAGCGGUCAAAGCCCGGGGCUCAACCCCGGCCCGCCGUUGAAACUGGCAGGCUCGAGUUGGAGAGAAGUAUGCGGAAUGCGCGGUGUAGCGGUGAAAUGCAUAGAUAUCGCGCAGAACUCCGAUUGCGAAGGCAGCAUGCCGGCUCCACACUGACGCUGAGGCACGAAAGCGAGGGUAUCGAACAGGAUUAGAUACCCUGGUAGUC
rnacentral:rRNA from 1 species